GCCUAGAUGCUAGGAGAUUGCCUGCCCUUUCCUCUGACUCCCAAGAAUCUUGUUUAAGGUCGCCUGCCCUUUCAGUGCAGAAAAUGGACAGUUUUGCAUUUAAUGACCAGCCUUCAAUAUUUUGUUUUCUCAUUCGUAUCUAGCGCAGAUCCUUCUCUGAAUGCAGAAUUAUUAAUUUCUUCAUGGCUUUUCUCUAGCACUCAUCAAUAUGGCGCAUAAACAUAAACCUGAUAAAGCAGCAUGGAAUUCUUUGAGAUGCGGUUCUCAUUUAGAAGCGAAAGCCACAAAAUAAAAAGAAGCUGGUGGAAUCAUUAAGAAAUUCUUAUGGGAAAUUCUGUCAGUGGAAGAUUGCAACUGCUGCAUUGAUCACAUCCAUGAGAUACUCCCAGUGGUUAUUCAGGACAAACGGAGGCCUUUGGAAUAUGGAUGUGAGCUGCCAGUAUUUUGUGAAUGCGUUUUGCAGUCUCAAGGAAAUUCUUUGGCUUUGUCAGUUAAUGCUAGCUUGCAUGAAAUGGUGGUAAGGAUUUUAUCAAAACAAAUGACAAUGCUGUAUACACUUGCCUACUAAAGAAAAUAAUCAUUUUAAAUAGCACUGGUUUUCAAUACAGGGCUGAAAAACAACUCUACAAUACGCUGUAAUAAGUUUUCUAUAAAUAUCCACCUGUGGUGCUUAGUAGAGCCUGCUGUGCUGGUGCUGUAAAACUGAAACUGGAGCUUCAUAAGGUUUAACAGCUAUGGUACAUUACUGAAUGGCAACAGUUACUCU